rnacentral:lncRNA from 1 species
UCACAUUUUGAAAUUCAAAUUUUGAAUUAUUAAAACAAAGUCGGAUGGAGAAAUGGCUAAAACAAAAGUUGUAGAUAUCGAUGAUUUUUAAAAAUUUGUAUCAGACAAUUUUUCCAUUUGAAUUCAUUAAUAAUUUACAAAAUUAAUUAAAAUAAUAACUAUGAACUUUAAUAGAAAUUUAAAAUCUCUACUAUAAAAAAAGCAAAACUAAGACUAUUUUUUGGUACAUCAUCUUCCGCUCAGUGGUUUCGUCUCGCGGUAUAUCAAUUUCCCUCCGUCCGAUCAAAAAAUCCUCGUACCUCCGGUUCCUCCGCUCCGGUUCCGCGCCCGCGUGGCACAAGCACCAUCCGCAUCGCCUGCCUCCAUCUCCUCCGCAAC